rnacentral:rRNA from 1 species
CGACAAGGUUUGUUCUGGCUCAGGAUGAACGCCGGCGGUGUGCCUAAUACAUGCAAGUCGAACGCGUUGGCCAAUUGAUUGAUGGUGCUUGCACCUGAUUGAUUUUGGUCGCCAACGAGUGGCGGACGGGUGAGUAACACGUAGGUAACCUGCCCAGAAGCGGGGGACAACAUUUGGAAACAGAUGCUAAUACCGCAUAACAACGUUGUUCGCAUGAACAACGCUUAAAAGAUGGCUUCUCGCUAUCACUUCUGGAUGGACCUGCGGUGCAUUAGCUUGUUGGUGGGGUAACGGCCUACCAAGGCGAUGAUGCAUAGCCGAGUUGAGAGACUGAUCGGCCACAAUGGGACUGAGACACGGCCCAUACUCCUACGGGAGGCAGCAGUAGGGAAUCUUCCACAAUGGGCGCAAGCCUGAUGGAGCAACACCGCGUGAGUGAAGAAGGGUUUCGGCUCGUAAAGCUCUGUUGUUAAAGAAGAACACGUAUGAGAGUAACUGUUCAUACGUUGACGGUAUUUAACCAGAAAGUCACGGCUAACUACGUGCCAGCAGCCGCGGUAAUACGUAGGUGGCAAGCGUUAUCCGGAUUUAUUGGGCGUAAAGAGAGUGCAGGCGGUUUUCUAAGUCUGAUGUGAAAGCCUUCGGCUUAACCGGAGAAGUGCAUCGGAAACUGGAUAACUUGAGUGCAGAAGAGGGUAGUGGAACUCCAUGUGUAGCGGUGGAAUGCGUAGAUAUAUGGAAGAACACCAGUGGCGAAGGCGGCUACCUGGUCUGCAACUGACCUGAGCUCGAAAGCAUGGGUAGCGAACAGGAUUAGAUACCCUGGUAGUCCAUGCCGUAAACGAUGAGUGCUAGGUGUUGGAGGGUCCGCCCUUCAGUGCCGAGCUAACGCAUAGCAAUCCCGC